AUUGAUAACUACUCGUACGAUAUCAAGUCAUCAUAUAAGACCAUUCCUUUAAAAUUCCUAUCUAGUCAAUUUCUGUAUUAAGACUUCCGCUCAUACGAUAAACAAAUGAAAUUGUUCAUCCUCCAACUGGCAGUUGUGUUUUGUUAUUGAAUCCAUUAUUAUUAUUAUUAUCGAGGAAUACAGUCGAUUUUUACACGUACCUACUGAUGAAAAAAAAUUCAGAAAAUAAUGUUUUCAACAGUUGGAGUUCUUGUGGCCCUUUUGAUUGUAGCGAAUGUCGCUCUUUCGUUAGCGGUUGCAGAUGAAAAUAAUCAAGAAAUGGUGGAAUUUGAAGCAAAUGCAGCAGACGCCAGAACACUUCCCUUGUGGGCACGUUUGGCACUCAGGGCGAAAUGCGAGCGCACAAGUGCCAAAAUUUGGCAGUAAAGUGUAAGCAUUUGAACAUUUUUUCAAACAUCUCGCACUAUAAUUUUGAUUUACCUACUUCCAAAAAAUUCUAGAAAUUUACACUUUUCUCCCAAAAAUGGUCAAAAGUGUUACUUUCGCCCAAAAUUCUCUAUUUUUGGCCAAAAAAGUUACGAAAUAGUUUCAUCUUGUCAAAAAGUUCGGUUUUCAGCUGAAAUUGUCUCGAAGUCUCGAUCGAGUUUUUAUCAUUUAUGUUGAAUUUUAAUUGGAAUGUUUUGUUUGGAAAAUUUUCUCUUACAUUAAAUUCAAUUGAAAUUAUCAUCAUUUCUCUAAAUUUUCCAGCAUUAAAAUGUUUUGCUCGUGUUUUGGUCAAUUUUUCGAACUUUUUUGGUCACCAAAGUUUUUUUUUUUUUUUUUGAGAAGUCCUGCAAUAAAAAUUUUCUGAGUUUUGAUCAGCAUCAAAAGCUCUUGUUUCUUCCAUUUUUGUUUUCAAUAUGUGACCUGAAUAUGGAAGCCCAAAUUUCUUAACGAAUCGAAUAACAUAGGACGUUAUUUUUUGAAAUGAAAAUCCGACGUUGUCUGGCCCAAAGAAACGCAAAAAAAAAUACACGCCAUAGACGAGUGUUUUUCGAUUUGAUUCGUGAAAUGUCCAUUACAUUCUUCGUAAUCUCAAACUACUAAUCACGGCAAUAAUUAUAACUGGUUUUCUGAGUUCAUUAAUGAAGAUGUUUCCUCAUUACAUCGAUUAAGUAAAUGAAUUUUUGAAUAAGCUAUGAAAAAAUAACUUACUCAUUUUUCCACUUCUGUAAUUAAAAUUAAAACUUGGUAACUCACCUUCUGAAACAAACAAACAAGCAAAAAAAUAUUCAUUACUUGAUGUAUUAUUUAUAUGACACGUUAAUAAAUGAGUUAUUUCUGA